GACGAACGCUGGCGGCGUGCCUAAUACAUGCAAGUUGAGCGCUGAAGGUUGGUACUUGUACCAACUGGAUGAGCAGCGAACGGGUGAGUAACGCGUGGGGAAUCUGCCUUUGAGCGGGGGACAACAUUUGGAAACGAAUGCUAAUACCGCAUAAAAACUUUAAACACAAGUUUUAAGUUUGAAAGAUGCAAUUGCAUCACUCAAAGAUGAUCCCGCGUUGUAUUAGCUAGUUGGUGAGGUAAAGGCUCACCAAGGCGAUGAUACAUAGCCGACCUGAGAGGGUGAUCGACCACAUUGGGACUGAGACACGGCCCAAACUCCUACGGGAGGCAGCAGUAGGGAAUCUUCGGCAAUGGACGAAAGUCUGACCGAGCAACGCCGCGUGAGUGAAGAAGGUUUUCGGAUCGUAAAACUCUGUUGGUAGAGAAGAACGUUGGUGAGAGUGGAAAUCUCAUCAAGUGACGGUAACUACCCAGAAAGGGACGGCUAACUACGUG
rnacentral:rRNA from 1 species